rnacentral:rRNA from 1 species
GAUGAACGCUAGCGGCAGGCCUAACACAUGCAAGUCGAGGGGUAGAAGGAGCUUGCUCCUUUGAGACCGGCGCACGGGUGCGUAACGCGUAUGCAAUCUACCUUGUACAGGGGAAUAGCCCAGAGAAAUUUGGAUUAAUGCCCCAUAGUAUAUAACCUUCGCAUGUUGGUUAUAUUAAAGUUCCAACGGUACAAGAUGAGCAUGCGUCCCAUUAGUUAGUUGGUAAGGUAACGGCUUACCAAGACGAUGAUGGGUAGGGGUCCUGAGAGGGAGAUCCCCCACACUGGUACUGAGACACGGACCAGACUCCUACGGGAGGCAGCAGUGAGGAAUAUUGGUCAAUGGUCGCAAGACUGAACCAGCCAGGCCGCGUGCAGGAAGACGGUCCUAUGGAUUGUAAACUGCUUUUAUACAGGAAGAAACCCUCCCACGUGUGGGAGCUUGACGGUACUGUAGGAAUAAGGAUCGGCUAACUCCGU